UCUGGCUCCUUUCCGAGGCAACAUGCUCGCUCGAGGGCUUGAGGGCUCCUCACGAGCCGGGACGGGGCCGAGUGCCCGGGGAGGGCACUCGUUGCAUGGGGGGGAGGGGCAUCCGUGUGCCUUUCGAUGGGCAAUGUCGGGCGGGGGGCAUGGGUGAGCCCCCGGGGUGAGCCGCGACGUUGGCCACUAGCACGUUUUUCCGAGGCAACAUGCUCGCUCGAGGGCUUGAGGGCUCCUCGACGAGCCGAGACGAGGGGCCGAGCACCCGGGGAGGGCUCUCGUUGCAUGGGGGGGAGGGCCAUCCGUGUGCCUUUCCAUGGGCAACGUCGGGCGGGAGGCAUGGGUGAGCCCCCGGGGUGAGCCGCGACGCUGGCCAUUGGCAAGCUUUUUCGAGGCAACAUGCUCGCUCGAGGGCUUGAGGGCUCCUCGGCGAGCCGAGACGGGGCCGAGUGCACGGGGAGGGCACUCGUUGCAUGGGGGAGGGGCGUCCGUGUGCCUUUUGAUGGGCAGCGUCGGGCGGGAGGCAUGGGUGAGCCCCACGAGGUGAGCCGCGACGUUGGCCAUUGGCACAUUUUUUCGAGGCAACAUGCUCGCACGAGGGGUCUAACCGAGACGGGGAAGGAUGGGGCCAAGUGCACGGGGAGGGCACUCGUUGCAUGGGGGGGAGGGCGUGUCCGCAUUGGGGGCAUGGGACGCAUCCGGGGUGCAGCGUGUACGGGGCACGGGGGGACUACUGUUGCGUGCAAGGGCUCCCCACGGUGUCGCAGGCGUGCUUUCUUCGCAUUAGCGUGUCGUGGGCUUGAGGGUGGCAUAUGCGGGGGCGCCAUGCCUAAGGUGGCAUGGGCGGCCUGCACGCGCUGCAGCGUGCCUGGGUGGGUGGUGNNNNNNNNNNNNNNNNNNNNNNNNNNNNNNNNNNNNNNNNNNNNNNNNNNNNNNNNNNNNNNNNNNNNNNNNNNNNNNNNNNNNNNNNNNNNNNNNNNNNCCCCCCCCUUAAAGAGCAUUUUGGGCCGAUUUGGAAAUGCCUUGAGGAGACAUCACCCAUGCUUGAGGAGACAUAAUGCCAUUUUUUAAUGAAAAAAGAGUUUUUAAUUCUUUUUUUUUUUUGCUGAAUCUGUUUAUAAUAAUUAUAUGAUCCCAAGGAAAAAAAAAUUCGACCCAAAAAAUAUUUAUUUGAAUUUUUUUGUCCGAAAAAUAAGGAAAAAUAGGGAAAAUAGUAGUAAAUACCAAAAAUUUGCGCGCCUGCUGCCUUCCUUGGAUGUGGUAGCCGUUUCUCAGGCUCCCUCUCCGGAAUCGAACCCUAAUUCUCCGUCACCCGUCAAUACCAUUGUAGGCCCCUAUCGUACCAUCAAAAGUUGAUAGGGCAUAAAUUUGAAUGAUGCUUCGCUGGCACGAUGGUCGUGCGAUCCGUUGAGUUAUCAUGAAUCAUCAGAGCAACAGGCAAAGCCCGCGUCGACCUUUUAUCUAAUAAAUGCAUCCCUUCCAAAAGUUGGGGUUUUUUGCACGUAUUAGCUCUAGAAUUACUACGGUUAUCCGAGUAGCAGAUACAAUCAAACAAACUAUAACUGAUUUAAUGAGCCAUUCACAGUUUCACAGACUGAAUUAGUUCAUACUUACACAUGCAUGGCUUAAUCUUUGAGACAAGCAUAUGACUACUGGCAGGAUUAACCAAGUAGCAUUCCUGUACGACGCCGACACCGCAUGCGCCUGACCGACGCCCCCCAAGGGGAGCGGGACUGGAGGGGAAAGACGGUAAGGGUCGUCGUACGCGUCUAGCAAGUACGGGAUCCAGAGAGACCCCACGCUCGUUUUAAGGUUCCGCAUCCGAGAGCACGAGCGGCCGUCGCGGGUCAUGCUCGACCCCUCUCAUACGUUUGCAUGAGUGGGGCAACCAUGGGACGUGGUGAUCGCUUUUGAGGUCCGCCCGCACCGCAUGAGCGGGAGCCGGGCGGAGAUAGGUAACGUUCGAGGGACAAUUCCAUCCGUUAGGAAGGCAACACAGGAACCACGGUAUCGCGACGCUUAAGGCUUGUUGCAGCGCUUGAGGCUUAGAAUGAAGAGGGUGGUGGGGCGAAAGUUCGUUGCAUGAGCAAGGAGCCUACCGACCCACGCGACCCAAACACCACUCACACGCCAUCAGGUUCACUAUGACACAUCAUCACACGUCGAACCGCGACUCGUCCGAAGGCGACUCUUGACGAGCACACAGGAGCAACGAGUGAAGCCUUCGUAGGACUGAUAUAGGCAUGGCGACGAUGCAUCUAGCUCCUUUCCAAGGCAACAUGCUCGCUCGAGGGCUUGAGGGCUCCUCAAUGAGUCGAGACGGGGCCGAGUGCCCGGGGAGGGCACUCGUUGCCUGGGGGGGAGGGGCAUCCGUGUGCCUUUCGAUGGAAAAAGUCGGGCGGGAGGCAUGGGUGAGCCGCGACGUUGGCCACUGGCACGUUUUUUCGAGGCAACAUGCUCGCUCGAGGGCUUAAGGGCUCCUUGACAAGCCGAGACGAGACUGAGUGCCCGGGGAAGGCACUCGUUGCAUGGGGGGAGGGGUAUCCGUGUGCCUUUUGAUGGGCAACGUCGGGCGGGGGAAAUGGGUGAGCCCCCGGGGUGAGCCGCGACACUAGCCAUUGGCAAGCUUUUCUGAGGCAACAUGCUUCUCUCAAGGGCUCCUCGGCGAGCCGAGAUGGGGCCAAGUGCACGGGGAAGACACUCGUUGCAUGGGAGAAGAGGCGUCUAUGUGCCUUUUGAUGGGCAACUUUGUGUGGGAGGCAUGGGUGAGCCCCCCGGGGUGAGCCGUGAUAUUGGCCAAUGGCACGUUUUUCCGAGGCAAUAUGCUCACUCGAGGGGUCGAGCCGAGACGGGGAGGGCACUCGUUGCAUGGGGGGGAGGGCGUGUCUGCAUGGGGGGCAUGGGACGCGUCCAGG
rnacentral:lncRNA from 1 species